GUACAUGCAUGAUACUUUUUGUAUUGAGUAUUUAUUUUUGGGAGUCAUUUUCAAUAUUUGGGAGUCGUGAAUAUUUAGCGUAAUACUUAUGUGUGUAUAUCAAAAAGCAAGAGUUUUGCAAAGAGUUUAUUGUUUUGUGUUGUAUUGUCAUUUAUAUGUUGGUUAAUAAAUAGUAUAUAUUU